rnacentral:rRNA from 1 species
AUUGAACGCUGGCGGCGUGCUUUACACAUGCAAGUCGAACGGUAACAGGCCGCAAGGUGCUGACGAGUGGCGAACGGGUGAGUAAUGCAUCGGAACGUGCCCAGUCGUGGGGGAUAACGCAGCGAAAGCUGCGCUAAUACCGCAUACGAUCUAUGGAUGAAAGCGGGGGACCGUAAGGCCUCGCGCGAUUGGAGCGGCCGAUGUCAGAUUAGGUAGUUGGGGGGGUAAAGGCUCACCAAGCCAACGAUCUGUAGCUGGUCUGAGGGGACGACCAGCCACACUGGGACUGAGACACGGCCCAGACUCCUACGGGAGGCAGCAGUGGGGAAUUUUGGACAAUGGGCGCAAGCCUGAUCCAGCAAUGCCGCGUGCAGGAAGAAGGCCUUCGGGUUGUAAACUGCUUUUGUACGGAACGAAAAGGCUCUGGAUAAUACCUGGGGCUCAUGACGGUACCGUAAGAAUAAGCACCGGCUAACUACGUGCCAGCAGCCGCGGUAACAC